AACGAACGCUGGCGGCAGGCUUAACCCAUGCAAGUCGAACGGGUGUAGCAAUACAUCAGUGGCAGACGGGUGAGUAACACGUGGGAACAUUCCUCGUUGUACGGGACAACUCAGGGAAACUUGAGCUAAUACCGUAUACGUCCGAGAGGAGAAAGAUUUAUCGCAAUGAGACGGGCCCGCGUCGGAUUAGCUAGUUGGUAGGGUAACGGCCUACCAAGGCGACGAUCCGUAGCUGAUCUGAGAGGAUGAUCAGCCACACUGGGACUGAGACACGGCCCAGACGCCUACGGGAGGCAGCAGUGGGGAAGCUUGGACAAUGGGCGCAAGCCUGAUCCAGCCAUGCCGCGUGAGUGAAGAAGGCCUUAGGGUUGUAAAGCUCUUUUGCCAGGGACGAUAAUGACGGUACCUGGAGAAUAAGCCCCGGCAAACUUCGUGCCAGCCGCCGCCGUAAUAC
rnacentral:rRNA from 1 species